rnacentral:rRNA from 1 species
UACAGAGGAGCCAAGCGUUGUCCGGAUUGACUGGGCGUAAAGCGCACGCAGGCGGUCGCGCGCGUGGGGUGUGAAAUCUGGCCGCUUAACGGCCAGGCGCCAUCCCAUACGGCGCGACUGGAGUGAUGCAGAGGUCGGUGGAAUUGCCGGUGUAGUGGUGAAAUGCGUAGAGAUCGGCAGGAACACCCAGGGGGAAACCAGCCGACUGGGCAUUGACUGACGCUGAGAAGCGAAAGCGUGGGGAGCGAACAGG